GGGUCAGUAGGUUGGUCGUGCCACCGGUACGUACUGGUCUCACUGAUUCCUCCUUCCUGAAGAACCGUAAUGCCAUUAAUUUGGUGUUGCGGGGAAACAGGACUGUUACUUUGAAAAGAUUAGAGUGUUUAAAGCAAGCUAACGCUUGAAUACAUUAGCAUGUAAUAAUGAAAUAGGACGAUCGAUCCUAUUUUGUUGGUUUCUAGGAUUGACGUA
rnacentral:rRNA from 1 species